rnacentral:snoRNA from 1 species
UCACUGUGGUGAUUGAUCUAAACACUUGCAGUUUCCACCAGAAAGGCUCUUCCUGUGUUGGCCAGCUCUUCCUUGGAUGUCUGAGUGA